UUUCACGAGCAUUAUAUGCCAUCAUUAUUUUCGUCAUUAGUUUUUUCAUGGUCAGGUUCUAUCAGUGACUGUUAGAGUGAUUCAAAGGGAUGCAGAAGAAAAGAAGUCAAUUUUCAACCCAAGGCCAUAUUUCAGAUUGUUUAUUAACUGGCUUCUCCAGAUUCGGUCCUUGAUGGUGCCAACUUCCAGGUUCAUUUUUUGUACAAGGCCACUUUGAGGGUGCUACUCAUGUCGCGGCAUGAUUUUUUCUGAGUUCCUCUGUGAUUAUCACUUCAGCUUUUGUGAUGUGAUUCCUCCUAGUUGUAUCCAAAUGCGGAAUGCCAUCCUCAGUACUUUUCCGAAAAACAUGAGGCUUCCUAAUUUUUUAAUAGGUCUCACUUCUGUUAUAUUUUUCAAAUAUCAUUUUAUCUUUAAUUGUAAAAUUUCAGACAAGACCAGAUGGAUCAACUUUCUUGACAGAACUGAAGCAGAGGUUAUUACUUCCUCAGGCUGAGGCAAACAUGGCCGGGAUCACUACAAUGUCCACUUGAUAAACUCUUGUUCUGUAUUUGGGGAUGCAGGUAAAUUUUACUUCACACUGAUUACUCUCUUAUGCAGUUUCUUUGUAAAGAAAUUGUUGUGGUAGCACUUAAGUUUUAAGGAUUUUCUGUAUCAGCAAAUUUUAUGGUGCAAAAGGCUUAUGAUCGAAGUUUUGUUUUUUUAUUUCAAAACCAUGUUUAUCUGCAGGCCUAACCUUCCUAAUAUAAUAAGGCUUUAAAUCUUUUAGUUGAUUUAUA